UAUUAUCUUUUGGAAUUAUUGUGCCCUUUUAACUGAGCAUUGCAUGAAUUUGUUGUAUUCUUAUUCCGUUGUUUUUCUUCCUUCGCUCUGUAUAUACUUUCUUGGGUUUUUUCCGAUUUUCGCUUUGGUUUUCUUGCUUUGAUAACUGAAACAACAAUCCAAAUGAAAUACACAUAUAUUUUUUCCUCUUCUUUCAUUUCAGGAAUAUUUCUGUCUAUUUUUUAUACCCUUGGUUAUUUACUUUCUCAUCUUUUUUCCCGCAGAUUUAAUUUUGCCAUACUCGCAUCGAAACUCUGCUAUUCACCUCCAGAUUCAGCAGGGCAGGCAAAUUGAGUAGGGAACUCAUGUGAAUCGUUUUAAUUAUGAUAUUAAUUCUACUUUUUUCUGCAGAUUUUUUCCCGGCGUCGUCAGACUUGCUGUUCUACUGAUCAACUAUAGGCACGUAGCAA
rnacentral:lncRNA from 1 species